rnacentral:lncRNA from 1 species
UAGACUUUGCCUCUGGCUGGGGCAUCAUAGGGCAGUAGGUGUCUGGGAAACUGAAUUGCAAUGGAUACGUACCAGAAAACUUUGAUCACCUCUUCUUUGAGUGAUCAGGCAAGAAGGUUGUGGAAUAGACUUUGCAUCUGGCUGGGGCAUCGUAGGGCAAUAGGUGUCUGGGAGACUGAAUUGCAAUGGAUAUGUACUAAGGCAAAAAGUAGAGUGGCCCUUAAUGCUAUAACAGCUUGUGUUUUCAUUAAUACCAUUGCAAUUAUCUGGAGGGAAAGGAAUAGAAUCAGAUUUGAUUUGAAAAAGUAUGAAGAGACUCAUAUCUG